AUGUUUCUCCCGUGCUGGAUGCUUCCUGCCCUUGAACAUCUUCAGCUUUUGGACUCUUGGACUUACACCAGUGGUUUGCCAGGGGCUCUCAGGGGCUCACAGACUGAGGGCUGCGCUGUCAGCUUCCCUACCUUUGAGGCUUUGGGACUCAGACUGGCUUCCUUGCUCCUCAGCUUUCAGAUGGCCUAUUGUGGGACUUCACCUUGUGAUCAUGCUCUGUGUUCCUGUGCAGCUUCUGUCAGGAUGACGUUUGGCUUUGAGACAGAAAACACCAAAUGCCAUGGGCUGGAACAGUGUGGACACCUAUUUCUCUUCCUCCAGUCUCAGCCAAGGUCAGUGUUACGGCUUCACAAGCACUGAAACCCAGGCUUUGCCAUCUUUUCCCUUCACCACUCAGCGUUUGGUGUCUGGAGGUCAGUGCUGAGUGGCACAUCCACAUUCCAGCAGCAGGAAGGAAAGGCAGCGCAGAGGGGGCACAUCCCACCCUCUAAGGAGAUGUCCUUCCAUGUUCCACUGCCAGGCCACAGGCGGUGGCCUCACAGAGCUGCAAAGCAUGUGGGGAGGAAGUCUGUUCUCCUGGUCAGCCAAGUAUCCAGCUAAAAAUGAGGGCUCUUGCCACCAAGGCAGAGGGAGCAGGCAGGUGUCUGGGUGGUGCCUGGCGCUCCUUGCUAUGCUGUGAUUGAGGGUUCUUUCAACAGUGGCCCCCUGACCCCGAGCUGUGAUUACUGGGCCACCCAUCAGUCCCACUCAGUUACCAAUCCUAUCACAGUAGACUGGCAAACACUUCCUUAAUCAAACCAGGACGUGUUCACUGGAUACCUUCAAGUCCCAUUCCACGCUGCAGGGUGCACUUCCUUAGCCAGGACAUUCACAGGCUGAAUGGACAUGAUAACACCCAGACAAGACAAGCAGGAGGUAUGUUUGUUCCCUUCAUUCCAGGGUUAACUUCUUGGACAAAUAUUGCUAGCUCCAGAGCAUGGCAGGAUGACACUGCCCUCAUGGAGCUUACAGUCUAGCUGGGAAAACAGGUGAAAAAUGAAUCUCCUCAGGCCAAAAAUGUGUAAUCAGGCUCCACACUUAUCUUUCAAGGGACAGGAAAUAUGGUAGUAAGGGAAAGACCCCAGGAAGGAACCCUUGGGGGACAUUCUAUAAGAAGAAUCUCGACCAGGUGUGGUGGCUCACGCCUGUAAUCCCAGCACUUUGGGAGGCCGAGGAGGGUGGAUCACAAGGGCAAGAGAUCGAGACCAUCCUGGUCAACAUGGUGAAACCCUGUCUCUACUAAAAAUACAAAAAAUCAGCUGGGCAUGGUGGUGCGUGCCUGUAAUCCCAGCUACUCAGGAGGCUGAGGCAGGAGAAUUGCCUGAACCCAGGAGGCGGAGGUUGAGGUGAGCCGAGAUCGCGCCAUUGCACUCCAGCCUGGGCAACAAGAGCGAAACUCCGUCUCAAAAAAAAAAAAGAAUCUCCUGAACUGUUCGAAAAUAUCAAUGUAAUAAAAACAAGGACUGUUCUAGAUUAAAAGAGACUAAAGCUAUACAACAACCAGAUGCAAAAUGUGAAUGUUGAUUGGGUUCUGUUGAAAAAAGAAGUUAUAGGCCGGGUGCGGUGGCUCAAGCCUGUAAUCCCAGCACUUUGGGAGGCCGAGGCGGGUGGAUCACAAGGUCAAGAGAUCGAGACCAUCCCGGUCAACAUGGUGAAACCCCGUCUCUACUAAAAAUACAAAAAAUUAGCUGGGCAUGGUGGUGCGUGCCUGUAAUCCCAGCUACUCAGGAGGCUGAGGCAGGAGAAUUGCCUGAACCCAGGAGGCGGAGGUUGAGGUGAGCCGAGAUCGCGCCAUUGCACUCCAGCCUGGGUAACAAAAGCGAAACUCCGUCUCAAAAAAAAAAAAGAAAAAAGAAGUUAUAAUUAGAACAUACGAAUAUAAUAAGUGAUGCUAUGGCGUUACUUUCAGUAUCCAUAGAUGCUGCAUCCGAAGAUUCAACCAACUUCAGAUCUAAAAUAUUUUAGAGGAAAAAUAAAAAUAAUCCAACAAUAAAGGUAAUACAAAUAUAAACAAUAUAGUAUAGCAACUAUUUACAUUGUCUUAGGCAUUGUAAGUAAUCUAGAGAUUAUAUUAAUGUUACUGUUUUUUAAAACUUUACUUUUUUUUGAGCCAACAUCACACCACUGUAAUCCAGCCUGUAAUCCUGACAGAGCAAGACUCCGUCUCAAAAAUUAGAUUAAUUAAUUAAUUAAAGCAUAGAGGAAGAUAUGGAAAUACUAUGCCACUUUCUAUUCAGGACUUGAGCAUUCAUGUAUUUUGGUAUCCACCGGAUCCUCCCUUCUCAGCCUCCCAAAUAGCUGGAACUAAUGCCCAGUGGGCACCAAGGGAUGACAGUAUUGUUAAUUUUCUUAGCUGCGACAAUGGUAAAGUGGUUUUAUAUGAAAACUUGCCGGCUGGAUGUGGUGGUUCACAUCUGUGAUCUCAGCACUUUGGGAGGCUGAGGUGGGCAGAUCGCUUGAGCACAGAAGUUUGAGACCAGCCUGAGCAACAGGGUGAAACCCUGCCUUUCCACAAAAAAAAAAAAAAAGCCAGGUGCAGGGGCCAGUGCCUGUAGUCCCAGCAGCUACUUGGGAGGCUGAGGUAGGAGGAUUGCUUGAACCCAGGAGGUGGAGGCUUCAGUGAGCAGUGACUGCACCACUGCACUCCAUCCUGGGUGACAGAGCAAGCAAGACCUUGUCUCAAGAAAAAGGAAAAGUAAAACUUUAAAAGUUUUUCCAAAAUGCAUACUGAAGUAUUUAGAGAUGAAGUAUUUAUUUUGCCUGCAACUUACUUUCCAAAGUUGGCAACAAAAAAAAAAAGUAGACAAAAAAAUAGAUACAGGGAGAGAGUGGGAGCAUGUGAGCAAAUGUGGCAGAUGUUAAGGACCGUGGGUGCUCACUGCACUAUUCUUUCACAUUUAUUUUUAUUAUUUGUUUUUUACAGACAGCGUCUUGCUGUGUCACCCAGGCUAGAGUGCAGUGGCACCUAGAUAGUUCCCUGCAGCCUCAAACUCCAGGGUUUAAGCAAUCCUCCCUUCUCAGCCUCCCAAAUAACUGGAACUACACAGGUGUGUUCCACCACAUCUGGUUAAUUAAAAGCAAAUUGUAGAGGCAGGGUCUCACUUUGUUGGCCAGGUUGGUCUUGAACUUCUGGGCUUAGGUGAUCCUCCUGCCCUGACUUCACAAAGCGCUGGGAUUACAGGUGUGAGCAAAUGCACUUGCCAUUGCAUUACUCUUUUUUUUUUUUUUUUGAGACACAGUCUGAUUCUGUCACCCAGGAUGGAGUGCAAUGGUGUUAUCUUGGCUCACUGCAACCUCUGCCUCCUGGAUUCAAGCGAUUCUCCAGCCUCAGCCUCCUAGGUAGUAGGGAUUAUAGGCAUGUGCCACGACACCCAGCUAAUUUUUGUAUUUUUAGUAGAGCUGGGGUUUUGCCGUGUUGGUCAGGCUGGUCUUGACCUCAGGUGAUCCACCCACCUCAGCCUCCC
rnacentral:lncRNA from 1 species